rnacentral:rRNA from 1 species
UACAGAGGGUGCAAACGUUGUUCGGAAUUACUGGGCGUAAAGCGCGUGCAGGCGGCCUUGCAAGUCGGACGUGAAAUCCCACGGCUCAACCGUGGAAGUGCAUUCGAAACUGCGAGGCUGGAGUCCUGGAGAGGAAAGUGGAAUACUCGGUGUAGAGGUGAAAUUCGUAGAUAUCGAGUGGAACACCGGUGGCGAAGGCGGCUUUCUGGACAAUUGCUGACGCUCAGGCACGAAAGCGUGGGGAGCAAAAGGG